CAGUAAACUCCAGAGAGAAAGAGAGUGUGGGAGUUUGUCGGACCUAGGAAACAAGUUGCAGGAAUUUGCCCAGCGCUGAAAAGGAUGCCAUCAGCUGAACAGCCUGCAAAAGACCCUGUGAUUAACUCUAAAAAGAGAGACCUCCAAACCUGAGAGACAGCAAGAACCAGGCGCUUUACAGAAAACUUUUCUUUGCUUGCUUUAAAAAUCAAGAUUUUAAGUAAUCAGUAAUUCUUGUUUUUCAGAGAGAUUAUAAUUGUUUUAAUACUCAGCAUUGGAUCAAUUUGCUAAUUUGCUGUCUGCACUUUGUAUUUUAGCACAUUAGAGGAUUAUGUGAGUUGCAAGAGAGCAGGCUGCUUUUAUACUGAUUAUUUUCAUCCGUGGGCUUAUUUAGAUAACCAAAGGACAAUAUUUUUGUUACUUUAAGAGUUGUUUGUGAGCGUUGGAGCUGAUAUUCUAAUGCCCAUGGCUGUCUCUGAACCUGUUGCCACCCGGAGGUUGGCACUGGACUGUCGUACCCUGCUGGAUCACCGCCCGAGUCGUGGGGUGUGUGGUUGUUGUGGAGCGCUGAGGCCGCGCUACAAGAGACUGGUGGACAACAUCUUCCCUGAAGACCCAGAGGAUGGGUUGGUAAAGGCCAACAUGGAGAAGCUGACUUUUUAUGCUCUGUCAGCUCCAGAGAAGUUGGAUCGUAUCGGGGCGUACCUGUCUGAGAGAUUGUCUCGUGACGUAGCUAGACACCGUUAUGGGUAUGUGUGUAUUGCGAUGGAAGCCCUCGACCAGCUGCUAAUGGCCUGCCACUGUCAGAGCAUCAACCUGUUCGUGGAGAGUUUCCUGAAGAUGGUGCGGAAACUCCUGGAGGCUGACAAGCCCAACCUGCAAAUCCUGGGAACAAACUCGUUUGUGAAGUUUGCUAACAUUGAGGAGGACACCCCCUCAUAUCAUCGCAGUUAUGAUUUCUUCGUGUCACGGUUUAGUGAGAUGUGCCAUUCCAGCUAUGAGGACCCCGACUUCCGCACCAAAAUCCGAAUGGCUGGCAUCAAAGGUCUACAGGGAGUAGUGAGGAAGACCGUAAAUGAUGAGUUGCAGGCGAACAUCUGGGACCCUCAGCACAUGGACAAGAUUGUCCCCUCACUGCUUUUCAAUCUGCAGUCUGGUGAAGGCACAGAGAGCCGCUCUCCCUCCCCACUGCAAUCCAGUAAGAAGGAGAAAGAAAGCCCAGCCGAGCUGACGGAGCGCUGCUUUCGGGAACUGCUGGGCCGUGCCGCCUAUGGCAACAUCAAGAACGCAGUGACCCCUGUGCUUAUGCAUCUUGAUAAUCACUCGCUGUGGGAAGGCAAAACAUUUGCAGUGCGCUGCUUUAAGAUCAUCAUGUACUCCAUUCAGUCCCAGCAUUCUCAUCUGGUCAUCCAGCAGCUCCUGGGCCAUUUGGAUGCCAACAGUAAGAGCUCAGCUACAGUGCGUGCUGGGAUAGUGGAGGUCCUUCUGGAGGCGGCUGCCAUCGCUGCCAGUGGCUCUGUUGGCCCCACAGUGUUGGAGGUGUUCAACACGCUGCUCCGGCAUCUGCGGCUCAGUGUGGACUAUGAACUCACGGGAUCCUAUGACUGCACCAACAUCGGCACCAAAAUCAUCAAGGAGCACGAGGAGAGACAGCUACAGGAAGCUGUCAUCAGGACUAUCGGCUCAUUUGCAAACACGUUACCCACUUACCAGCGCUCUGAGGUGAUGCUCUUCAUCAUGGGGAAGAUCCCCAUUCCAGGCAUGCAUCCCACGCUGCCCUCUACAGGCUCAGGACCUGAGGGCAAUCGAAUGAUCCAAGUCAUGCUAUUGAAGUCUUUGAGACAGGUCACAUGUGGUUUCCAGACGACCAAUAUGCUGACAGCUCUGCCGAACUCCUUUCUGGACCCACUGCUGUCAUUUGCUCUGCAAGAAGAUGCAGAAAUUCGACUGUUGGUGCUGGAAAUUCUGGUCAGCCUUAUUGAUCGGCAUGACAACCUCCCCAAGUUUUCAACCAUCAGUAUCAUCUCUGAUAUCUCUGUGCUUAAACUAAAAGUGGACAAGUGCUCCCGCCAAGACAACCUCUUCAUGAAGAAGCAUGCACAGCACCUAUAUAGACACAUCUACCUGUGCUGUAAGGAACAGAGCAGCGUGCGGCCUCACUUUGAGAAGCUCUACUCACUCCUGGCCCUCAUCAGCAUGGAGCUGGCCAACGAAGAAGUGGUGGUGGACCUGAUCCGUGUGGCACUCGCUCUGCAGGACUUGGCUCUGAGCAGUGAGGAGAUGUUGCCGGUGUAUAACCGCUGUGCUGUUCAUGCUCUGUCCUCUGCUUACCUCAAUCUCAUCAGUCAGCUCACCACGGUGCCAGCGUUCUGCCAGCACGUUCAUGAGGUGAUUGAAAUGAGACAAAAAGAAAGUCCUUACCUGUUACCUGAGGAUGUCUUCAUUGAAAACCCAAAGAUUCCUAAGACACUGGAGAAGCUGGAAGGAGAGCUGUUGUUUCAACAGGCCAAGAUCACUGAGGUUCUUGGAGGCAGCGGCUAUAACACUGAGCGACUAGCUACACCUUAUGUCCCACAGUUCACAGAUGAGGACCGGCUGUCAAAAAGAAAGAGCAUUGGAGAAACAAUAUCUCUGCAGGUGGAGGUAGAGUCCAGAAACAGUCCCGAGAAAGAGGAGAGAACACCAGCUGAAGAAAUCACAUUUGAAACACUAAAAAACGCCAUUGUGGAUAGUGUAGGCGUGGAUGAACAGGAGAAGGAACGCAGGAGACAGGUGGUUGAGAAGUUCCAGAAGGCCCCCUUCGAGGAAAUAGCUGCCCACUGUGGUGCCAGAGCUACAAUGCUGCAGAGCAAACUUAAUCAGAUCUUUGAAAUCACGAUCAGGCCUCCUCCCAGUCCAUCUGGAACCAUCACAUCAAGUUACGGCCAAACCCAGAGUCGCUCUGUCCCCGUUUAUGAGAUGAAGUUCCCGGACUUGUGCGUUUACUAGUGCAGCUCAACUCAGGAUUCAGGAACCUUCAGUAGCAGCCAGAGGUGCAGAGAGCUGGAGGGUUUUAGUUUUUAGGCCCAUGCAGUCCAUCAAAUCCAAGCAGCGGCCGUCUACAUACGGACUGUGGAAACACAAGACUGCUGCAGCCAAGAGCCAGGAAGGACAGAGCAUCUGAAAACAAGAAACAAGACAAGAUCAGUUCUUUCAUCCCUCAGGUGCGUGGCAACCCCUCAAGGCUGGAAGAUGAUCAGGUGGGUCUCUGCUGAGGGGGGAGUGGGAUGCACAGGGGAAAUUACUAAUAAAAUACAAACCAUUCAUACUUUUUGGUCAUGUUCAUACCUCUGUUUUUGACACAUUAAAACAUCCACAGGAAGUGGCAGGUGAAUUAUGGAUCAGGUACUGCGGUUCUGUUACUCGUGUCACUUGAGGCACCUGGAAACUUAAUGAAAGUAAACUCGGGAAAAUUAAGAUGGAAUGACGUAAUUUCACAUCACAGAUUCCCUGUGAGUUGGAACAACAUACAAGCGGCGUGCAAAUCGAUCAGACUGACCAGAUGUGCAAUAUCUUAAGUGCUUAGCUCAAGCUGAACAAUUAUUCUAACUUAGUUUCUCAUCUCUUUGUUGCUUCUUUUUUUAAUGAAGCCCAUUCAUGCCCCAUCUGUAGCAAAUGUAAUCACUAACAAUGGAGGAAAGCUAAUGUUGUGUUGUCUUGGUAACUUGUGAUAAAUCAAUUACUCUUUUUUUUUUUUCACUCACUUAAAUUAAUACACUGAAAAAGAA